AUGAAGAACGUAGCGAAAUGCGAUAAGUAAUGUGAAUUGCAGAAUUCAGUGAAUCAUCGAAUCUUUGAACGCACAUUGCGCCCGCCAGUAUUCUGGCGGGCAUGCCUGUUCGAGCGUCAUUACAACCCUCAGGCCCCCGGGCCUGGCGUUGGGGAUCGGCGGAGCCCCCCGUGGGCACACGCCGUCCCCCAAAUGCAGUGGCGGUCCCGCCGCAGCUUCCAUCGCGUAGUAGCUAACACCUCGCGACUGGAGAGCGGCGCGACCACGCCGUAAAACACCCAACUCUUCUGAAGUUGACCUCGAAUCAGGUAGGAAUACCCGCUGAACUUAAGCAUAUCAAUAAGCGGAGGA
rnacentral:misc_RNA from 1 species